rnacentral:rRNA from 1 species
GAUGAACGCUAGCGGCAGGCUUAAUACAUGCAAGUCGAGGGGCAGCAUGAUUGUAGCAAUACAAUUGAUGGCGACCGGCAAACGGGUGCGGAACACGUACACGACCUUCCAACAAGUGGGGGAUAGCCCAGAGAAAUAUGGAUUAAUACCCCGUAACAUAGCGAUGUGGCAUCACAUUGCUAUUAUAGAUUUUUCGCUUGUUGAUGGGUGUGCGGCUGAUUAGAUAGUUGGCGGGGUAACGGCCCACCAAGUCUACGAUCAGUAGCUGAUGUGAGAGCAUGGUCACCCACACGGGCACCGAGACACGGGCCCGACUCCUACGGGAGGCAGCAGUAAGGAAUAUUGGACAAUGGACGCAAGUUUGAUCCAGCCAUGCCGCGUGAAGGAUUAAGGUCCUCUGGAUUGUAAACUUCUUUUAUAAGGGACGAAAAAAGGCUUUUCUAAGUCGUCUGACGGUACCUUAUGAAUAAGCACCGGCUAACUCCGUGCCAGCCGCCGCCGUAAGAC